rnacentral:tRNA from 3 species
GAUAGCGUAGCUCAGCCGGUAGAGCAACGGCCUUUUAAGCCGUGGGUCCUGGGUUCGAAUCCCAGCGCUGUCA